UACGUAGGUGGCAAGCGUUGUCCGGAUUUACUGGGCGUAAAGAGCGCGCAGGCGGCCAAGUCAGUCGAAUGUGAAAGCCCCCGGCUCAACUGGGGAGGGUCACGCGAUACUGAUCGACUCGAAGGCAGGAGAGGGUAGUGGAAUUCCCGGUGUAGAGGUGAAAUUCGUAGAUAUUAGGAAGAACACCAGUGGCGAAGGCGGCUCACUGGCCCGGUACUGACGCUGAGGCGCGAAAGCGUGGGGAGCAAACAGG
rnacentral:rRNA from 1 species